UACAAUGUUUUACUCUUCGUCUUAUUUAAAAAAUUUUUUGCGAUUAAUAUUUUUAUUCUUACUAGAUGAUAAAACAUGAAUAGUAUUUUAUGCGUGACUAAUUUUUUUAAUUUUUUGUAUAAUUUUUUUAAAUAAGACGAAUGGUCAAACGUUGGACACGGAAAACGA
rnacentral:pre_miRNA from 1 species